CUAAUUCAGCAACAGUUUUGAUUUUGAUGCUCCCUUUGGAUGUCUGUCUACAGGGACACUUUUCCUUGUGCUGCCUAAAUGUGAAACUACACAUCACAACUUAGUAUUAUGGCUCUUAGUUGAGAUUAUCUUGUAAUACGUGUUUGUUUUCCAUGUCUGUAUUCCCUCAUUCUGGCCUGUUUAAAGGCUAUACUGGUUAAAGAGAGUGAAGCAGGCUUCUCUGUCCUGUCUCUAUGUCUUCACUAGCCACUCCCUCUUUUGCCCCUCACAUCUGCUUACUCCCCCUCCACCCUGCUGAAAAGACAGUGACAAACACUUAUAAAGUGAUUGCUAAGAGGGAAACAUGAUGUUGCUUAUAUCAACCAAUGACAAUAGUAAUGCCAUCUGAUUUCCAAUUUAAUAUAUGCCAGGUACUGUAUUUACAUGUAUAAACUCAUUUAAUCAUCAAAAUAACCUAAUGGGGUAAGUAUUAGUAUCAUUAUCCCCAUUGACAUCUGAGGAAACCGAGGCAAGAAACAGUUAAAUACCUUAUACCUCAUCCAAGAUCACACAGUUAGCAAAGGUAGAUGCAGGAUUUGAGCCCAGGGAGUCUGGUUUUGGAGAUCACGCAUUCUUAAUUAUUAUGCUGCAAUGCUUCUCAUGGCUAAGCUUAAAAUAACCAAGCCAAUGUUGUAAAGGAAGUGGGAACCAGCUUCCCUACUGCACCAGUGCCCU
rnacentral:lncRNA from 1 species